UCCAGACUCCUACGGGAGGCGGCAGUGGGGGAUAUUGCACAAUGGGGGAAACCCUGAUGCAGCAACGCCGCGUGAGUGAAGAAGUAUUUCGGUAUGUAAAGCUCUAUCAGCAGGGAAGAGAAUGACGGUACCUGACUAAGAAGCCCCGGCUAACUACGUGCCAGCAGCCGCGGUAAUACGUAGGGGGCGAGCGUUAUCCGGAUUUACUGGGUGUAAAGGGAGCGUAGACGGCUGGUCAAGUCUGAAGUGAAAGCCCGGGGCUUAACCCCGGAACGGCUUUGGAAACUGAGCAGCUAGAGUGCUGGAGAGGUAAGCGGAAUUCCUAGUGUAGCGGUGAAAUGCGUAGAUAUUAGGAGGAACACCAGUGGCGAAGGCGGCUUACUGGACAGUAACUGACGUUGAGGCUCGAAAGCGUGGGGAGCAAACAGGAUUAGAUACCCUCGUA
rnacentral:rRNA from 1 species